UGACCAAAGGUCAGAGAAUUCAAGUCUAUUCCUGCACCUUCUUUUUAAAACAGGAGGUUUGACCCAAGGAAUGGUUGCCUACAGGAUAGUGGUGUAGGGUGUAUUUGCUGCAUAUUUUGCCCAAAACAUCAGAAUGCUUAACUCAGGAAAUAGUGACUUGAUGUCUCCAAGUAUUGACAUAUGAACGAAGCUGGAAUAAAUAGCCACAUGUGUAUGAUUUCUCAUAUUGCUACAGAGAUACUUCGAGGCUAAAUUACCAGAAGUGAGAUUGUUGGACAAAAGCGUGCAGGAGCCAUUGAGGAGGGUCAGAAGAUUCGCUAGAACUGGAGUUAUAGACGGUCUAUGAGUUGCCACAGGCCUUCUGAGAAACAAA